GAGGAAACGCAACGCCGAACCUCCAAUCUCCCAUCUAUUCAUCUAGCACUUGCAUUUUCUCUUUCCUCUUCUCUGUUUGGUUUCCAAGAAAAUCACCAUGCCUCCUAAGCCCAAAGACAAAGGGAAACCCUCUACGUCGCCGUGGCAGCCUCCGCCCGCCAUCGAAGAUCUCUUCAGUACUCUCAACAAGCACAUCCAGCGAUCCGAUUACGAGCAAGCCGUCAAAGUCGCAGAUCAAGUUCUCGGAGUUGCUCCCGCCGAUGAGGAUGCGCUUCGAUGCAAGGUCGUGGCUUUGAUUAAGGCCGACCGCAUUGAGGAUGCUCUUUCAACUAUUCAGUCAGCUCAGACAGUUGCUGUUGACUUCACUUUCUUCAAGGCAUACUGUUUAUACAGACAGAAUAAGUUGGAUGAAGCUUUGGAGUCUUUGAAAGACCAAGAGAGAAAUUCUGAAAUCAUGCUGUUAGAAUCACAGAUUCUCUUUCGUCUGGGGAAAAUGGGUGCGUGUGUUGAUGUCUAUCAGAAGCUUCAAAAGUCCAAGAUUGAUUCCUUGGAAAUAAACCUUGUUGCGGCUUUGGUUUUGGGUGGGAGAGCUUCUGAAGUGCAAGGAAUAAUGGACGCUAAUCGGAUUAAAGCAUCUAGCAGCUUUGAGUUGGCAUACAACACUGCUUGUUCUUUGAUUGAAAGGAACAAGUACACAGAAGCAGAACAACUUUUGCUAACAGCAAGAAGAAUUGGUCAGGAAACAUUGAUGGAUGACAACUUGGCUGAGGAUGAUAUAGAGAUUGAAUUGGCUCCUAUAGCUGUACAAUUGGCAUAUGUUCAGCAGGUAAAAUAAUGUGAUGCAACGCAAGAAGUUUCCCAUUUAAAUUUUUCCUCUUUAGGUAUUUUUUAAAUAGCCAAUAAUGCACAUAGCUUAUUUCAUCAGCUCUUAGGACGAUCUCAAGAGGCAAUGGAAGCUUACACAGAUAUUAUUAACCGAAAUCUGGCAGAUGAAUCAUCUUUUGCUGUGGCCAUUAACAACUUUGUUGCUCUGAAAGGAACAAGAGAUGUUUCUAAUAAUCUGAGGAAACUUGAUCAGCUCAAAGAAAAAGAUGCACAGGGCUUCCAGCUUACUCGCGGACUUGAAAAGCUUUCUACAAAACAAAGGGAGACAAUAUAUGCAAACCGGGUGCUUUUACUUCUCCAUGCAAAUAAGAUGGAUCAGGCACGAGAAAUUGUUGCUGCUCUGACAGACAUGUUUGCUGACAGUGUGGUGCCAGUACUGCUUCAAUCUGCAGUGUUAGUUAGAGAGAAUAAGACUAGCAGAGCUGAAGAAAUAUUGGGGCAGUUUGCUGAAAAGUUCCCUGAUAAAUCCAAGGUUGUUCUUCUUGCAAGGGCACAAAUUGCUGCUGCUGCGGGCCAUCCUCAAAUUGCAGCCGACUCCCUGGCUAAGAUACCUGAUAUUCAGCACAAGCCUGCCACUGUUGCCACCAUUGUGGCUCUUAAAGAGCGGGCUGGAGAUAUUGAUGGUGCAUCUGCCAUCCUUGACUCUGCAAUCAAAUGGUGGUCAAAUGCUAUGACUGAGGACAACAAACUGGAUGUUAUAAUGCAAGAAGCUGCUUCGUUCAAGAUCAGGCAUGGGCGGGAGGAAGAUGCUGCCCACCUAUAUGAGCAGCUUGUUAAAAGCCAUGGGAGCAUAGAAGCAUUGGCUGGGCUGGUAAGUACAAUUGCUCGUGUGAAUGUUGACGAGGCAGAAGCUUAUGAGAAGCAGCUGAAACCUUUACCAGGUCUGAAAGGGAUCGAUAUAGAUAGUUUGGAGAAGACUUCUGGGGCAAAGCAUGGUGAAGGUUCUCAUAUAUCGAUUGCUGACAUACAAGAGGAGGGCAAGAAAGAGAAACCGAAGAAAAAGAGAAAGAGAAAGCCAAGGUUUCCUAAAGGAUUUGAUCCUGCGAAUCCGGGUCCUCCUCCAGAUCCAGAAAGGUGGCUCCCCAAGAGAGAGAGAUCAAGUUACAGGCCCAAGAGAAAGGAUAAGAGAGCAGCUCAAGUGAGAGGAUCUCAGGGUGCUGUCGUUAGAGAAAAGCAUGAAGCUGGUGCCAGUGCUACCAAUUCCAGCUCCUCAAAUUCAAAAUCAAGCCAAGCUGCUAAUUCGAAGGCAGCUACGGAACAUUCAAAACCUUCAUCCAAGUCUUCAAGAAAGAAGUCAAGGAAUUGACUGGGAGAGCAUAGCUUUAGUGCAAACUCCGCCCCCAUCCUCCGAAAAAAAGCGAGAGGGAGGAGCGGGAAAACCUGUAGGUUUUGGUUAAAAAUUUUCCAAUUGUUUGUCAUCAUUUAUUUAGCUUCUUUAUUAAAGCUGAGAUUUUGGUGGUUUACCAUUGCUGUGUGAGGUUUAAUUUGAAAUGACGAAGGAUUAGGAAUUUUGAUAUUUUAUUAUAGUCACGCACAAGUGUGUUUUGCGGCAGAGUGAUGGAGCAUUGAUACUUGUUUCCCUUGAUUGCUUCUACACUGCAUUAGGUGUUGAAGAUGCGUGUCCUGUGUGCAGGUAAAUGCUCGAGUAGUGCCGCUGUACACUUGUAUAUCAAUCUGGUUGUCUAGAAAAAUACAGAAGUCUGGGGCGUUGGCUUUGGCUUUAGAAUGUUAUCUUGUAUUUGUCCGCAUUCCUUUUGACUGUCCUCGUUGAAAAAGAGGAAAGAAAAAGCAUGGAGGCUUCUAGGAAGGUGUAAGCAAAUUUUGAUUUAAAUUGAAAAAUUAAAU
rnacentral:misc_RNA from 1 species